CCUACGGGAGGCAGCAGUGAGGAAUAUUGGUCAAUGGGCGAGAGCCUGAACCAGCCAAGUCGCGUGAGGGAUGACUGCCCUAUGGGUUGUAAACUUCUUUUAUAUGGGAGUAAAAAGGUGUACGUGUCGAUUGAUGUCUGUACUUUACGAAUAAGGAUCGGCUAACUCCGGGCCAGCAGCCGCGGUAAUACGGAGGAUCGGAGCGUUAUCCGGAUUUAUUUGGUUUAAAGGGAGCGUAGAGGGGUUGUUAAGUUAGUUGUGAAAUUUUGCGGCUCAAACGUACAAACGCAAUUGAUACUGGAAACCUUGAGAACAGACGAGGUAGGCGGAAUUAG
rnacentral:rRNA from 1 species